rnacentral:rRNA from 1 species
ACGGGUGAGUAACACGUGGGUAACCUGCCCAUAAGACUGGGAUAACUCCGGGAAACCGGGGCUAAUACCGGAUAACAUUUUGAACUGCAUGGUUCGAAAUUGAAAGGCGGCUUCGGCUGUCACUUAUGGAUGGACCCGCGUCGCAUUAGCUAGUUGGUGAGGUAACGGCUCACCAAGGCAACGAUGCGUAGCCGACCUGAGAGGGUGAUCGGCCACACUGGGACUGAGACACGGCCCAGACUCCUACGGGAGGCAGCAGUAGGGAAUCUUCCGCAAUGGACGAAAGUCUGACGGAGCAACGCCGCGUGAGUGAUGAAGGCUUUCGGGUCGUAAAACUCUGUUGUUAGGGAAGAACAAGUGCUAGUUGAAUAAGCUGGCACCUUGACGGUACCUAACCAGAAAGCCACGGCUAACUACGUGCC